AACAUCGCCUCUCGAAUUUAUUAGAGGUCUAGCCUGCCCAGUGACUUCUGUUUAACGGCCGCGGUAUCCUAACCGUGCAAAGGUAGCGUAAUCACUUGUCUUCUAAAUAAAGACUAGUAUGAAAGGCAUCACGAGGGUUUAACUGUCUCCUCUCUCUAAUCAGUGAACCUAAUCUCCCCGUGAAAAAGCGGGAAUUUUUUUAUAAGACGAGAAGACCCUAUGGAGCUUAAAACAUCUUUACACGUGCUUUCCCCUCCCACCACCCAGGUACCCUAACUCUAUCUGCACGAUGAUUAUAUGUUUUUGGUUGGGGUGACCGCGGAGAAAACCCCAUCCUCCGUAGUGAAAGGAGCUGCUCCUUAACAACAAGCCACAACUUUAUGUAUUAAUAUAUUAACACCAUUGACCCAAUAAAUUGAUUAAUGAACCAAGUUACCCUAGGGAUAACAGCGCAAUCCACUUCCAGAGCCCCUAUCGACAAGUGGGCUUACGACCUCGAUGUUGGAUCGGGGUGUCCUGGUGGUGCAGCCGCUACUUAGGUUCGUUUGUUCAACGAUUAAAACCCCACGUGAUCUG
rnacentral:rRNA from 1 species